rnacentral:rRNA from 1 species
GUUUAUGGCCAUACCACCCUGAAUGCACCCGAUCUGAUCUCAGAAGCUAAGAAGGGUGGGGCCUGGUUAGUACUUGGAUGGGAGACAGGGUCUGGUCAGCCCAGGCUGACCUUGAACU